rnacentral:rRNA from 1 species
GGAACGAGUUAUCUGAACCUUCGGGGAACGAUAACGGCGUCGAGCGGCGGACGGGUGAGUAAUGCCUAGGAAAUUGCCCUGAUGUGGGGGAUAACCAUUGGAAACGAUGGCUAAUACCGCAUAAUACCUACGGGUCAAAGAGGGGGACCUUCGGGCCUCUCGCGUCAGGAUAUGCCUAGGUGGGAUUAGCUAGUUGGUGAGGUAAUGGCUCACCAAGGCGACGAUCCCUAGCUGGUCUGAGAGGAUGAUCAGCCACACUGGAACUGAGACACGGUCCAGACUCCUACGGGAGGCAGCAGUGGGGAAUAUUGCACAAUGGGCGCAAGCCUGAUGCAGCCAUGCCGCGUGUGUGAAGAAGGCCUUCGGGUUGUAAAGCACUUUCAGUCGUGAGGAAGGUAGUGUAGUUAAUAGCUGCAUUAUUUGACGUUAGCGACAGAAGAAGCACCGGCUAACUCCG